UACGUAGGGGGCAAGCGUUGUCCGGAUUUAUUGGGCGUAAAGAGCGUGUAGGCGGCCAUGCAGGUCCGUUGUGAAAACUGGAGGCUUAACCUCCAGACGUCGAUGGAAACCGUAUGGCUAGAGUCCGGAAGAGGAGAGUGGAAUUCCUGGUGUAGCGGUGAAAUGCGCAGAUAUCAGGAAGAACACCCGUGGCUAAGGCGGCUCUCUAGUACGGUACUGACGCUGAGGUGCGAAAGCGUGGGGAGCAAACAGG
rnacentral:rRNA from 1 species